rnacentral:rRNA from 1 species
UGGGAGAGGUAGAUGGAAUUUCUGGUGUAGGGGUAAAAUCCGUAGAGAUCAGAAGGAAUACCGAUUGCGAAGGCGAUCUACUGGAACAUUAUUGACGCUGAGACGCGAAAGCGUGGGGAGCAAACAGGAUUAGAUACCCUGGUAGUCCACGCCCUAAACGAUGUACAUUAGUUGUUGCUAUGCUAGACAUAGCAGUAAUGCAGUUAACACAUUAAAUGUACCGCCUGGGGAGUACGGUCGCAAGAUUAAAACUCAAAGGAAUAGACGGGGACCCGCACAAGCGGUGGAGCAUGUGGUUUAAUUCGACGAUACGCGAAGAACCUUACCUGGCCUUGACAUAGAAAGAAUUUAGCAGAGAUGUAAAAGUGCUAGUUUACUAGAGCUUUCAUACAGGUGCUGCACGGCUGUCGUCAGCUCGUGUCGUGAGAUGUUAGGUUAAGUCCUGCAACGAGCGCAACCCUCGUGUUUAGUUACUAACAGAUUAUGCUGAGGACUCUAGACAUACUGCCUGGGCAACCAGGAGGAAGGUGAGGACGACGUCAAGUCAUCAUGGCCCUUACGGCCAGGGCUACACACGUGCUACAAUGGGGUAUACAAAGAGCAGCGAUACCGCGAGGUGGAGCAAAUCUCAUAAAAUAUCUCCCAGUUCGGAUUACACUCUGCAACUCGAGUGUAUGAAGUUGGAAUCGCUAGUAAUCG